AUCUGAGUCUAUAUACCCUGAAGGUGCCAAAUCCCAUCUGAUCUUGGAAACUGAGCUGGGCCAGGCCUUGUUAGUACCUGGAUAAGACACCAUCUGAGAAUGCCAGGUGCUGUAGGCU
rnacentral:rRNA from 1 species